CUGACUCCUCUGCGCUGACUCCCAGCCGUGCGCCCUGGCUUUCUUCCCCGAUGCCAGGUCGCAACGGAUGGGGAUCAGCACCGAGGAUGCAGCCCG
rfam:Leifsonia sp. SCN 70-46 ABT06_C0002, whole genome shotgun sequence.